CAUUUGCCUCAUCAUUUAAUUCUUAUUUUUGAGAUAUAUAUUGAGAUAUAUAUAAUUAAAAUUAUAAAUUUGCUUUUAGAUUUUUUUGUGUGAUAUUCUUGCAUUUUUUUGAUGAAUUUUUUCGUUAUAAUUUCUUACUCAACUACUUAAUAGGAAUUGUCUCUAUUUUUGUAAAGAAUGAGUUAAUCUCAUGUAUGAAUCGAUAAAUUUUAGUACAAAUUCAAAAUUUAAAGUUAGUAAAUUUUCCGAAGAUGUCGUUGAUUUUAUUUUUGAUAUUAUUAUUCUGCCUCGACAUACAGUUGUUAUUUGCUAGUGCAGCACCAUUAAGAUUCACAUAGAAAAUAUGAAACUAAAUUUGCCCAAUUUUUCAAUACAUGAGAAUCUUGAUGAUGCUGCAUCGGCAAAUGGAUGACUUGAUUCUUUAAUUCUACAAGAAAAUUUGGGCAAUUUAUCUUUAUUUGGUUUUGAUGCAGAGGAUGAAGCUAUUCGUGCCUAAAAUAUAGUUAUAUGGAGCAAAAAUUAUGUUAUUGUUUGGGACAAUACAUAUCGAAUUAUUAUAUUGAAAUUAUUUUUUUGAUAUGGUAAUUUAAUUAUUAUGACA